UACCAGCUCUCCGAGUGGUAGGGAUGAUUAUUGGGCUUAAAGCGUCCGUAGCCGGCUUAGCAAGUCUCCUGUUAAAUUCAGCGACCUAAUCGUUGAGCCGCGGGAGAUACUACUAGGCUAGGAGGCGGGAGAGGUCAACGGUACUUCCGGGGUAGGGGUGAAAUCCUAUAAUCCCGGGAGGACCACCAGUGGCGAAGGCUGUUGACUAGAACGCGCUCGACGGUGAGGGACGAAAGCUGGGGGAGCGAACCGGAUUAGAUACCCGGGUAGUCCCAGCUGUAAACGAUGCGAGCUAGGUGUUGGGGUGGCUACGUGCCACUUCAGUGCCGCAGGGAAGCCAUUAAGCUCGCCGCCUGGGGAGUACGGCUGCAAGGCUGAAACUUAAGGAAUUGGCGGGGAGCACCGCAAGGCGUGAAGCUUGCGGUUC
rnacentral:rRNA from 1 species